CACUCCUACGGGAGGCAGCAGUGGGGAAUAUUGGACAAUGGGCGCAAGCCUGAUCCAGCCAUGCCGCGUGAGUGAUGAAGGCCCUAGGGUUGUAAAGCUCUUUCACCGGUGAAGAUAAUGACGGUAACCGGAGAAGAAGCCCCGGCUAACUUCGUGCCAGCAGCCGCGGUAAUACGAAGGGGGCUAGCGUUGUUCGGAUUUACUGGGCGUAAAGCGCACGUAGGCGGACUAUUAAGUCAGGGGUGAAAUCCCGGGGCUCAACCCCGGAACUGCCUUUGAUACUGGUAGUCUUGAGUUCGAGAGAGGUGAGUGGAAUUCCGAGUGUAGAGGUGAAAUUCGUAGAUAUUCGGAGGAACACCAGUGGCGAAGGCGGCUCACUGGCUCGAUACUGACGCUGAGGUGCGAAAGCGUGGGGAGCAAACAGGAUUAGAUACCCCGGUAGUCCCA
rnacentral:rRNA from 1 species